GGAAAUGCUGCCUUUUUGACCUUCUUAGUUCUUUGAAUCUCUGAGUAAGGGGGCACAAAGAGUGUAAUCAGUAGUCAUAACGUAUCUGGACUUUUUUUGCAUCUAGUAAGUCUCCCUUGGGAGACUAUUAAGGAAAGAAGCCCUGGGCAAAACAUUGUUAGAUAUUUCUAUCCAGUGUAUAAAUGAGCACAGGCCUGAUGACACACCAACUGCACGCUGUGUGCUGUGCAAAGCUUUCUGAUAGGAUCUCUCUUCCUCUCUCCAUCAGUCCUUGGACUUGCCUGGUCACAUACCGUUAACUUGUCUUUCCUGCUGCUAGCUGUAUGAGCUGGCAGCCCUUCAGAGAGACAGCCUGCUUUCCAGAGAUCUGUUUUCACAGGAAUUCCUUUGUCUGUCCUCAGCAGACCCCAAAUAUACCAACUCCGUUAAUAGCCCAGAAGAGGAGUCCAGGGACUCACUUGCUUCUGUACUUCACCCUGAUCUGAAAGCAGAAAGGGGAAGCAGGGAGGCAUUGCUUCCAUUUGGGAAAAUCAAAUCUAUAUCCUCUGGAGAUCCUAAUGAAAGGAUUGGUAACCCUCAAUGCACACAGUCAAUCUGUCUAGGUUAUGAGCUUAGCUUAUGAGAAUUACAUACAUGGGCUGCCAAACAUUAAAAAUCUGAAUGCUGCAGACAGCCCGAUCGUGGUAUGGAACUGCGGCUCCGCUCCUGUGCCCAACAUGUUGUGCUGUGCUUCAUGUGCCAGAGGGACAAUCUGAGUCUGUAAUGUCAGAAGAGUACAUCUGCACAGUAAGAACAGAAUGAAAAUGGUAGAUUCACCAUGCUGAAGGUCAAGGAGACCUUUCUCUUUGCUGUCUGUGUUCAGAAGGACCAGAGGGAUGAAUAACUUCUCAAGGUAGCAGUAAUCUUAUGCUCUCCUUCAUCUAACGUUAUCAAAACCUGUUUAAUCAGGCUGAAGUUACCCUCCUGGCUACCCAGCUUCAGCAAGUGGCGGUUAUGGGUUAGAUGUGAAACUGAGCUUGGACUAUUAACAUCUCCUAAAUGCCUCCCCAAAAUCAAGAAUAUUACCAUCACUUCUUGGCCAUCAUCCUGUCACGGUAAUGACAUUUCAAUUGUUUGAACUCCUCCGUGGGACUGUAGCCAAAUAACAGAUUCCUUGCUGGAAUAAAGCAUUCCACUCAGAAACACAACUGGUUUUGAGUGCUGUCAUGUUUAUGCAGUUCUCUGCCAAAGCAAAGCACACUCUUGUUUUAUUGGAUUAAUAAAGGAUUGUUCUGGAAAACAAUGCUAUUAUUAUAUGUGACUUUUUGGAAGAGACCCUCUGCAGAUAACCGUAGCGUUGCACAAAGAAAGAUUAACCAGGAAGGUUGUUUUCUUGCUUUUCUGAGCUCUGCUGAGUGCUAGAACGCAAGUCAUAGAGGAGAACCUCCUGCAUCCCACUCACAACUGAGGGCAACCAUUCCUGGCGGUGGGACAGGCCUGCAGGACAUCACAGCUUCACGGCUUUGCCACCAGCGACAAAGGAGAGCUGAGCUGGGAGGAGCAGGUAAAAAUGGGGUCUGCCGCAGUGUGGGAGCUUGCUCCAGCCACAGCGUCCCUCCGUCGGCUCUCUCUGUGGGACCACCACGUCUGUAAGCUCUACGUGCUGUGCGGAGGCAUCUUCACGGCGAAGCACCUCCGUUUAACUCAAGGCCCUUUCUCCUUUCCACGGAGCCACGCAGAGGCACGGAGGACAGGCUGUCAAAGCCCAGCACUGAGAUGAGACGCCCACAGGCAGCCGUGCCGAGGGCGCGCUGGGAUGGCCGGAGCUGUGGCGCCG
ensembl:lncRNA